AACGCGAAGAACCUUACCUGGGCUUGACAUGCGCCAGACAUCCCUAGAGAUAGGGCUUCCCUUGUGGUUGGUGUACAGGUGGUGCAUGGCUGUCGUCAGCUCGUGUCGUGAGAUGUUGGGUUAAGUCCCGCAACGAGCGCAACCCUUAUCCUACGUUGCCAGCGCGUGAUGGCGGGGACUCGUGGGAGACUGCCGGGGUCAACUCGGAGGAAGGUGGGGAUGACGUCAAGUCAUCAUGCCCCUUAUGUCCAGGGCUUCACACAUGCUACAAUGGCUGGUACAGAGGGCUGCGAUACCGCGAGGUGGAGCGAAUCCCUUAAAGCCGGUCUCAGUUCGGAUCGCAGUCUGCAACUCGACUGCGUGAAGUCGGAGUCGCUAGUAAUCGCAGAUCAGCAACGCUGCGGUGAAUACGUUCCCGGGUCUUGUACACACCG
rnacentral:rRNA from 1 species